UGGGGAAUAUUGCACAAUGGGCGCAAGCCUGAUGCAGCAACGCCGCGUGAACGAUGAAGGUCUUCGGAUCGUAAAGUUCUGUCGCAGGGGAAGAUAAUGACGGUACCCUGUGAGGAAGCCCCGGCUAACUACGUGCCAGUAGCCGCGGUAAUACGUAGGGGGCUAGCGUUAUCCGGAUUUACUGGGCGUAAAGGGUGCGUAGGUGGUCUUUCAAGUCGGUGGUUAAAGGCUACGGCUCAACCGUAGUUAGCCUCCGAAACUGGAAGACUUGAGUGCAGGAGAGGAAAGUGGAAUUCCCAGUGUAGCGGUGAAAUGCGUAGAUAUUGGGAGGAACACCAGUAGCGAAGGCAGAUUUCUGGACUGCAACUGACACUGAGGCACGAAAGCGUGGGUAUCAAACAGG
rnacentral:rRNA from 1 species